rnacentral:tRNA from 7 species
GCCCCAGUAGCCCAAUUGGCAGAGGCAAAGGACUUAAAAUCCUUGAGUUGCGAGUUCGACUCUCGCCUGGGGCA